UUUCAAAAAACAAAAGAACAGCAAAAAUAUUGCAAAUGCCGUGAGUAGAGGUACCACAAAACAUUGCAAAUAACUUGAACUUUCAAAAAACAAAAGAACAGCGAAAAUAUUGCAAAUGCCGUGGGUAGAGCUUCUAGGUACAUGGAUCGCUAUCUGCUAGGACAAGCCCUAUGUAUGUUCUGUAGAAUCAUAUAGAGAAAUUAAUCACAACAAAAUGGUAUCUCCAAGGCUACUACCACAACUGCAACAACAACCCAGCACAAAACAAAGAAUGUUGACUGCACACUAAUACAUACAAGAAACAGAGGCUCGGGCAA
rnacentral:lncRNA from 1 species